rnacentral:rRNA from 1 species
GACGAACCGUGCGAACGUUGUUCGGAAUCACUGGGCUUAAAGGGCGCGUAGGCGGCCGCACGAGUCAGGGGUGAAAUCCUCCGGCCCAACCGGAGAACGGCCCCUGAUACCUUGCGGCUGGAGGUGGGUAGGGGCACGCGGAACUUCCGGUGGAGCGGUGAAAUGCGUAGAUAUCGGAAGGAACGCCGGUGGCGAAAGCGGCGUGCUGGACCCCCCCUGACGCUGAGGCGCGAAAGCCAGGGGAGCGAACGGG